GGCAAGAUGGCCGAGCGGUCUAAGGCGCCACGUUAAGGAAUAUCCUUAAUAACCAUCCAUCUGGAUUCCGUGGUCCGAAAGGGCGUGGGUUCGAAUCCCACUCUUGUCA